rnacentral:rRNA from 1 species
UCGAAAGGAACGCUAAUACCGCAUACGUCCUACGGGAGAAAGCAGGGGACCUUCGGGCCUUGCGCUAUCAGAUGAGCCUAGGUCGGAUUAGCUAGUUGGUGAGGUAAUGGCUCACCAAGGCGACGAUCCGUAACUGGUCUGAGAGGAUGAUCAGUCACACUGGAACUGAGACACGGUCCAGACUCCUACGGGAGGCAGCAGUGGGGAAUAUUGGACAAUGGGCGAAAGCCUGAUCCAGCCAUGCCGCGUGUGUGAAGAAGGUCUUCGGAUUGUAAAGCACUUUAAGUUGGGAGGAAGGGUUGUAGAUUAAUACUCUGCAAUUUUGACGUUACCGACAGAAUAAGCACCGGCUAACUCUGUGCCAGCAGCCGCGGUAAUACAGAGGGUGCAAGCGUUAAUCGGAAUUACUGGGCGUAAAGCGCGCGUAGGUGGUUUGUUAAGUUGGAUGUGAAAUCCCCGGGCUCAACCUGGGAACUGCAUCCAAAACUGGCAAGCUAGAGUAUGGUAGAGGGUGGUGGAAUUUCCUGUGUAGCGGUGAAAUGCGUAGAUAUAGGAAGGAACACCAGUGGCGA